UCAAUGGAAACCAAAAAGAGGUCUAUUAUUGUUAAUAAUAAAAAUGAAAUUAAACUCCUAUUGAA
rnacentral:tRNA from 1 species